AUACAGAUGUUUAAACUGAAAUUGGAUAAAUACUUACAAAAACAUAACAUACAGGGAUAUAAUUUCUAAUUAGUGGGGUAAUAGCUGAUUGAUCCAAGGAGACAUCUGACUGCUAUUUUGGGGUCAAGAAGGAAUUUUUUCCUAGUUUGUGGCAAAAUUGGAAGUGCUUCAGACCAGGUUUUUUGCCUUCUUUUGGAUCAACAGCAACAACAUUUCUGAGGAAGGCUGAACUUGAUGGACGCAAGUCUCUUUUCAGCUAUGUAACUAUGUAACUAUGUAAUUG